rnacentral:rRNA from 1 species
UAGGGAAUCUUCCGCAAUGGACGCAAGUCUGACGGAGCAACGCCGCGUGAGUGAAGAAGGAUUUCGGUUCGUAAAACUCUGUUGUUAGAGAAGAACAGCGCAUAGAGUAACUGUUAUGCGUGUGACGGUAUCUGACCAGAAAGCCACGGCUAACUACGUGCCAGCAGCCGCGGUAAUACGUAGGUGGCAAGCGUUGUCCGGAUUUAUUGGGCGUAAAGCGAGCGCAGGCGGUCAAUUAAGUCUGAUGUGAAAGCCCCCGGCUCAACCGGGGAGGGUCAUUGGAAACUGGUUGACUUGAGUGCAGAAGAGGAGAGUGGAAUUCCAUGUGUAGCGGUGAAAUGCGUAGAUAUAUGGAGGAACACCAGUGGCGAAGGCGACUCUCUGGUCUGUAACUGACGCUGAGGCUCGAAAGCGUGGGUAGCAAACAGG